GUUUGCUUCGGCACCACAUAUACUAAAAUUGGAACGACAGAGAGAUUAGUGUGGCCCCUGCGCAAGGAUGACACGAAAGUGCAUGGGUCUGUGGAUACACAC